rnacentral:rRNA from 1 species
CUCAAAUUUGAAACCCUCGGGAUUGUAAUUUGAAGAUUUGGCAUUGGAGAAAGCUAACCCAAGUUGCUUGGAAUAGUACGUCAUAGAGGGUGACAACCCCGUCUGGCUAACCGUUCUCCAUGUAUUGCCUUAUCAAAGAGUCGAGUUGUUUGGGAAUGCAGCUCAAAGUGGGUGGUAAACUCCAUCUAAAGCUAAAUACUGGUGAGAGACCGAUAGCGAACAAGUACUGUGAAGGAAAGGUGAAAAGAACUUUGAAAAGAGAGUGAAAUAGUAUGUGAAAUUGUUGAUAGGGAAGGAAAUGAGUGGAGAGUGGCCGAGGUUUCAGCCGCCCCUCGUGGGCGGUGUACUGCCGACGCCGAGUCAUCGAUAGCGAGACGAGGGUUACAAAUGGGAGCGCCUUCGGGCGUUCUCCCCUAACCCUCCACACUGCCACCGACGAC